rnacentral:rRNA from 1 species
GACAGAGGCCCCAAGCGUUAGGCGGAAUCACUGGGCUUAAAGCGUGUGUAGGCGGACGCCUAAGUGUCUUGUGAAAUCCCACGGCUCACCCGUGGAACUGCUGGGCAUACUGGGCGUCUUGGGCCAACUAGGGGCGAGCCGGAACAAGCGGUGGAGCGGUGAAAUGCGUAGAUAUCGCUUGGAACGCCGAAGGUGAAACAGGCUGCUGGGUGCGCCGACGCUGAGACACGAAGCCAGGGAGCAAACGGG